rnacentral:rRNA from 1 species
GGAGCUUGCUCCACCGGAAAAAGAGGAGUGGCGAACGGGUGAGUAACACGUGGGUAACCUGCCCAUCAGAAGGGGAUAACACUUGGAAACAGGUGCUAAUACCGUAUAACAAUCAAAACCGCAUGGUUUUGAUUUGAAAGGCGCUUUCGGGUGUCGCUGAUGGAUGGACCCGCGGUGCAUUAGCUAGUUGGUGAGGUAACGGCUCACCAAGGCCACGAUGCAUAGCCGACCUGAGAGGGUGAUCAGCCACAUUGGGACUGAGACACGGCCCAAACUCCUACGGGAGGCAGCAGUAGGGAAUCUUCGGCAAUGGACGAAAGUCUGACCGAGCAACGCCGCGUGAGUGAAGAAGGUUUUCGGAUCGUAAAACUCUGUUGUUAGAGAAGAACAAGGAUGAGAGUAACUGUUCAUCCCUUGACGGUAUCUAACCAGAGAGCCACGGCUAACUACGUGCCAGCAGCCGCGGUAAUACGUAGGUGGCAAGCGUUGUCCGGAUUUAUUGGGCGUAAAGCGAGCGCAGGCGGUUUCUUAAGUCUGAUGUGAAAGCCCCCGGCUCAACCGGGGAGGGUCAUUGGAAACUGGGAGACUUGAGUGCAGAAGAGGAGAGUGGGAUUCCAUGUGUAGCGGUGAAAUGCGUAGAUAUAUGGAGGAACACCAGUGGCGAAG